rnacentral:tRNA from 1 species
UGGGGGAUCGUCUAGCGGUAGGACAGCGGACUCUGACUCCGUUAACCCUGGUUCGAAUCCAGGUCCCCCAGCCA